UGGGGAAUAUUGCACAAUGGGCGCAAGCCUGAUGCAGCCAUGCCGCGUGUGUGAAGAAGGCCUUCGGGUUGUAAAGCACUUUCAGCGAGGAGGAAGGGUUCAGUGUUAAUAGCACUGUUCAUUGACGUUACUCGCAGAAGAAGCACCGGCUAACUCCGUG
rnacentral:rRNA from 1 species